AAGUCGAACGAUGAAGUGGAGCUUGCUCCACGGAUUAGUGGCGAACGGGUGAGGAACACGUGAGAAACCUGCCCCAGACUUUGGGAUAACAAAUGGAAACGUUUGCUAAUACCAAAUACCGUCGGGAGAGUCACAUGACUUUCUGACGAAAGGUAUUCCGGUUUGGGAGGGUCUCGCGGCCUAUCAGCUAGUUGGCGGGGUAAUGGCCCACCAAGGCAACGACGGGUAGCUGGUCUGAGAGGAUGGUCAGCCACACUGGGACUGAGACACGGCCCAGACUCC
rnacentral:rRNA from 2 species